CAGGAUGAACGCUAGCGGCAGGCUUAAUACAUGCAAGACGAACGGCAAGUUGAGUAGCAAUACUUAACCUAGAGUGUCGCACGGGUGCGUAACACGUAUGCAACCUACCUAUAACAGGAGGAUAGCUCGGGGAAACUCGGAUUAACCCUCCAUAAUAUCAUUGACUGGCAUCAGUUGAUGAUUAAAACUCCGGUGGUUAUAGAUGGGCAUGCGUCUGAUUAGUUAGUUGGUGAGGUAACGGCUCACCAAGACGAUGAUCAGUAGGGGAACUGAGAGGUUGAUCCCCCACACUGGCACUGGGAUACGGGCCAGACUCCUACGGGAGGCAGCAGUAGGGAAUAUUGGUCAAUGGAUGCAAGUCUGAACCAGCCAUGCCGCGUGCAGGAAGAAGGCCUUCUGGGUUGUAAACUGCUUUUGUCAGGGGAUAAAAAGCUCGUGCGCGAGAAUUCAGGAC
rnacentral:rRNA from 1 species